UACGUAGGGGGCAAGCGUUGUCCGGAAUCAUUGGGCGUAAAGCGCGUGUAGGCGGUUCGAUAAGUCUGCUGUGAAAGUCCAGGGCUCAACCCUGGAAAGCCGGUGGAUACUGUCGGACUAGAGUGCGGAAGAGGCGAGUGGAAUUCCCGGUGUAGCGGUGAAAUGCGUAGAUAUCUGAAGGAACAUCAGUGGCGAAAGCGACUUCCUGGACCAAUACUGACGCUCAUGUGCGAAAGCGUGGGGAGCAAACAGG
rnacentral:rRNA from 1 species